rnacentral:rRNA from 1 species
GAUGAACGCUAGCGGCAGGCUUAAUACAUGCAAGUCGUGGGGCAGCAUGAGUGUAGCAAUACAUUUGAUGGCGACCGGCAAACGGGUGCGGAACACGUACACAACCUUCCUAUAAGUGGGGAAUAGCCCAGAGAAAUUUGGAUUAAUACCCCGUAACAUAAUGAUGUGGCAUCACAUUAUUAUUAUAGCUACGGCGCUUAUUGAUGGGUGUGCGGCUGAUUAGAUAGUUGGCGGGGUAACGGCCCACCAAGUCUACGAUCAGUAGCUGAUGUGAGAGCAUGAUCAGCCACACGGGCACUGAGACACGGGCCCGACUCCUACGGGAGGCAGCAGUAAGGAAUAUUGGUCAAUGGACGCAAGUCUGAACCAGCCAUGCCGCGUGAAGGAUUAAGGUCCUCUGGAUUGUAAACUUCUUUUAUCUGGGACGAAAAAAGGCGAUUCUUCGUCACUUGACGGUACCAGAUGAAUAAGCACCGGCUAACUCCGUGCCAGCCGCCGCGGUAAAAC